GACCUGGCAAUGUGGAUUGAUCAUAAAUUAUUAAGAUCGACGCUGGUAAGAAGUCUACACAAGCUGCGCAGCAGUUCGGACAUAAUACUUUCUUAUGCAUACUGAUGCAUGCUGUUAGCCGAUAGCGGAGGUCAAAUCACAGGGGUUAGUUCCUGCCGGAUGUGAAUGGAGAAUAAGAGUAUACUUAAGUAAAAAGCGAGUCUAGUCCCAAAGCUUGGAUUUUCUGGGCCAUGUUUGCAGGUACAAUGUAACGAUCUUCGCUAAUUACGCGCUUAUACGAACAAUACAUUUCGAUACCCUUUGAUUGCAACGGUUCAGUGAAGAAAUGGAUAAGAUCUUUCACUUCAGCACAGACUAAUUCAUUUGUGUUUUGUCGUAUUCUUUUACCAUCAAUACUUUUCUCUCGAAAUGCACAAAGCAAUCGUUCCCAAAAUCUGUUAUUGUGACAUGUCUCUCAGUAACGACGGAAUGCUUGGCCCUCUUUUUCGAAACGGUUGCAGUUUUGGUCGACGAAUAUUUCAUUUGCUCGCCUAAACGGUUUUUAAACUGCAAAAGGUAGUUCCGAGAUGGAAAGGCAACCGGAGUCGAACACUCACAGAAACUAAGAUCAACGAGAUGGACCGAUUCCUUCGCUAGAUGUGCAUCCUGAUGGUGAAUUGAUUUUCACAAGUACCUGUAACCGGUGCUGUUUGCCGAUAGCAGAUACCAAAUCACAGGGGUUAGUUCCCGCCGGAUGUGUCUUCAAUUUUAUCGCGGAGCCGACAUGCAAGAGGUCAAUCCAUUUCUGUUACGUUUGUAUGGAGUGUACGGCCAAAACCGAGGUCUAAUUCGAUUCAACUUCGGAACCACUUGAACGACAACAGAUCAUAAUAUUCAUUUGGGCACACAUGGCCAUCCCAGGAAAGUUCAAUCUGCAGUAUGAUCGGGCUGUUAUCCUCAAAAACGAUACCUUCUUCAUCAAUGUUGAUGGCAAGAACUGCCAACUCUUGGGAGAUCCCAACAAGCUUGCAGACUUACCGACAUCGAGACAUUGCUGUCGGUUGUUGACUAUGUCAAUCUAAAGAAUUCAUGCGUUGAACUAUCGGCUUAGGAUGCUCUGUACGGCCCAGCAGCAGCUGCCGAACCACCCGGGAUUGCCGCGCAGUUUGGUCGCGGUGUUGUAUUAUGACGGAAGGAAGUCGCUUGUGGCCAGCUUGAAAGAGCUUUUCCAGACGCGAACCGGUGUUAGCUGGUGCACAAAUGCGUCAGAGGAAAUAACCCAGGAAAUUCGGCCGCUCAAAGUGGACUGCCACGGGGGACAAUUGUGCAGGAAACUCCCCACCCGGUUUCCACAUCCUACUACAAGUCAACACCAUAUCCGACUUCCUUAGGCUGCCUCUGCACAUCAUCGUCGAAGCCUGUUCCAUCUUUGACACCUUCACACCAUUCCCCGGACGCAAAAAUAUCGAGGAGACCUCCCUACAUGCGUUACAGAUCCUGUACCGGGCUCUCAAAUCACAGGAUGGCGAAUUUUUGGCGUUCGAAGCAGCCAAUCAUCUGCCCCAUUGGGCAAAUCUUAUAAAAAACAUGAAAAAAAUU